rnacentral:rRNA from 1 species
UACGUAGGGCGCAAGCGUUGUCCGGAAUUAUUGGGCGUAAAGAGCUCGUAGGCGGCUUGUCACGUCGGGUGUGAAAGCCCGGGGCUUAACCCCGGGUCUGCAUUCGAUACGGGCUAGCUAGAGUGUGGUAGGGGAGAUCGGAAUUCCUGGUGUAGCGGUGAAAUGCGCAGAUAUCAGGAGGAACACCGGUGGCGAAGGCGGCUCUCUGGACGGAUACUGACGCUGAGGCGCGAAAGCGUGGGGAUCAAACAGG